rnacentral:rRNA from 1 species
UACGGGAGGCAGCAGUGGGGAAUAUUGCACAAUGGGGGAAACCCUGAUGCAGCGACGCCGCGUGAGUGAAGAAGUAUUUCGGUAUGUAAAGCUCUAUCAGCAGGGAAGAAAAUGACGGUACCUGACUAAGAAGCCCCGGCUAACUACGUGCCAGCAGCCGCGGUAAUACGUAGGGGGCAAGCGUUAUCCGGAAUUACUGGGUGUAAAGGGUGCGUAGGUGGUAUGGCAAGUCAGAAGUGAAAACCCAGGGCUUAACUCUGGGACUGCUUUUGAAACUGUCAGACUGGAGUGCAGGAGAGGUAAGCGGAAUUCCUAGUGUAGCGGUGAAAUGCGUAGAUAUUAGGAGGAACAUCAGUGGCGAAGGCGGCUUACUGGACUGAAACUGACACUGAGGCACGAAAGCGUGGGGAGCAAACAGGAUUAGAUACCCUGGUAGUCCACGCCGUAAACGA